GACGAACGCUGGCGGCGUGCUUAACACAUGCAAGUCGAACGAUGACGACCGAGCUUGCUCGGUCUGAUUAGUGGCGAACGGGUGAGUAACACGUGAGCAACCUGCCCUUCACUCUGGGAUAACCUCGGGAAAUCGGGGCUAAUACCGGAUAUGUGCUCCUGUCGCAUGGCGGGUGUUGGAAAGUUUUUCGGUGAAGGAUGGGCUCGCGGCCUAUCAGUUUGUUGGUGAGGUAGUGGCUCACCAAGGCGAUGACGGGUAGCCGGCCUGAGAGGGCGACCGGCCACACUGGGACUGAGACACGGCCCAGACUCCUACGGGAGGCAGCAGUGGGGAAUAUUGCACAAUGGGCGAAAGCCUGAUGCAGCGACGCCGCGUGAGGGAUGACGGCCUUCGGGUUGUAAACCUCUUUCAGCAGGGAAGAAGCGAAAGUGGCGGUACCUGCAGAAGAAGCGCCGGCUAACUACGUG
rnacentral:rRNA from 1 species